rnacentral:rRNA from 1 species
UACGGAGGUGGCAAGCGUUGCUCGGAAUCACUGGGCGUAAAGGGCGCGUAGGCGGGGAGGUAAGUCGGGUGUGAAAUCCCUCGGCCCAACCGAGGAACUGCGCCCGAGACUGCUUCUCUUGAGUCCCGGAGAGGAAGGUGGAAUUCCCGGUGUAGCGGUGAAAUGUGUAGAGAUCGGGAGGAGCACCGGUGGCGAAGGCGGCCUUCUGGACGGUGACUGACGCUGAGGCGCGAAAGCGUGGGGAGCAAACAGG